GACGAACGCUGGCGGCGUGCCUAAUACAUGCAAGUCGAGCGGACAGAUGGGAGCUUGCUCCCUGAUGUUAGCGGCGGACGGGUGAGUAACACGUGGGUAACCUGCCUGUAAGACUGGGAUAACUCCGGGAAACCGGGGCUAAUACCGGAUGGUUGUUUGAACCGCAUGGUUCAAACAUAAAAGGUGGCUUCGGCUACCACUUACAGAUGGACCCGCGGCGCAUUAGCUAGUAGGUGAGGUAAUGGCUCACCAAGGCAACGAUGCGUAGCCGACCUGAGAGGGUGAUCGGCACCACUGGGACGGCGACACGGCCCAGCCUCCUACGGGAGGCAGCAGUAGGGAAUCUUCCGCAAUGGACGAAAGUCUGACGGAGCAACGCCGCGUGAGUGAUGAAGGUUUUCGGAUCGUAAAGCUCUGUUGUUAGGGAAGAACAAGUACCGUUCGAAUAGGGCGGUACCUUGACGGUACCUAACCAGAAAGCCACGGCUAACUACGUGCCAGCAGCCGCCGUAA
rnacentral:rRNA from 1 species